rnacentral:rRNA from 1 species
GACGAACGCUGGCGGCGUGCUUAACACAUGCAAGUCGAACGGAAAGGCCCUGCUUUUGUGGGUUGCUCGAGUGGCGAACGGGUGAGUAACACGUGAGUAACCUGCCCUUGACUUUGUGAUAACUUCAGGAAACUGGGGCUAAUACCGGAUAGGAGCUCCUGCUGCAUGGUGGGGGUUGGAAAGUUUCGGCGGUUAGGGAUGGACUCGCGGCUUAUCAGCUUGUUGGUGAGGUAGUGGCUUACCAAGGCUUUGACGGGUAGCCGGCCUGAGAGGGUGACCGGCCACAUUGGGACUGAGAUACGGCCCAGACGCAUACGGGAGGAAGCAGUGGGGAAUAUUGCACAAUGGGCGGAAGCCUGAUGCAGCAACGCCGCGUGCGGGAAGACGGCCUUCGGGUUGUAAACAGCUUGCGCCUGUGACGAAGCGUGAGUGACGGUAAUGGGUAAAGAAGCACCGGCUAAUUACGU